rnacentral:tRNA from 1 species
GGAGGUAUGACUCAAGUGGUAGAGUGCAUGCCUAGCAAACAUGAGUCCCUGGUUCAAUUCCCAGCACCGUCA